rnacentral:lncRNA from 1 species
UUCCUGGAAUCAAAUUGGUUGUAAAAAGAAUUAUAUUUAAACGAUCGUUGCCUGCUCGAUUCGAAAGGUUGUAAGCGCAUCCGUGAAUCCGCUCGUCGUUCGUUUCCAAAUGUUUCUAUUUUUUAAACGAACGAAAGCGAUUUGCGAGUAAAACUGCAUUCGCGAUCGUUUCGAUGGAUAUUUAUCGAAAACGGUGAGAACACAAAUAAACGAUAUAUACGCUUUGUUGCACUGAUUUUUCGGCUUUUACCGAUAUUACGUAUACACAUCUUUUACCGCUGUUUCAAAACGCUGUAAACACGAGAUGCAAGAGGAAAUUGAUAGCUUGAAUUACGUUUUUAUCGAAGCUCAAACUUUUCGCAGCAUGAAAUUUCCUAUUGUUAUAUAUAUAUAUACGUUCAUGUUUUGAUCGAUUCGAAGGAUUUCAUAUGUUUUAUGAAAUGGUUGAACGCGUGAAAUUCAAACGCACAGACGCAAAGACGACGAUUCUUCUUGCGUCGCGUGAAACGAGCGAAAUGUAAUUUAAAAGGUAAAACUGCCAUUUUUAAUUAACGUAAUCGAUAACCUCGAAAACGAUUGGUAAUUAUCGUAACCGUACAACUUAUUCGUUGUCCUACCCUGCAAAACGAACGUUAAAAGAUGAGAGUUAGAAACUAUAGAGUAUGGAGGAAUGUGAGUUCGCAGCGAAAGCGAAUGUCCGGUUCGAUCGCAUUCUUAAAUUUCGCGAGUCUUUCGACACUGAUCAUAUACAAAAAUCGCUUCAAUUCGUUCGACGUUCCAUCGACGUUGAAAGAUACCGUCUGUCAAAGAUGAACACGCUACAUUUACAAGCAGUACAUCUUAAAAAGCGCAUAAUAUCCACGAUGUCAUUCGAUCGUGUAUACACGGAGAAUUCAAGAUUUUAAACGAAGCGUUGCCAGACAUUUCUUAUCGCUUUAUACUUUAUAUAUGUGACAGUAAAAGAUAUACGAAAUGUAGAAUACUAAAACAUAUUAUUUUGAAAUUUUAGAUACAGAAAAGAAAAAAAACAACAUCACCUUAUCCUACAGUUUAAAAUGUUAGUAAUCUAAAAACAAGAUCGACACUGACUGACUAUUAACUGAGACUGAAUUCGUUAAUCCAUCAUUUCAUUCCCCCCUUCUUCCUCUAAGUAAAAAUCACAAAACCUUCUUCUCUUUCAUUUAAUUCCAAGAUAUUUCGUCUCUAUUCAAAGAUUUUGAUCGUUCAAACUGCUCGAUAACGUAUCAACCACACGUUUGGAGUUGUAAAAACCUAUUAUAUAUUAGUCUGAAUAUUUGAUAUUUAAUAAAAUAAUAAUUUCACCUGAAAAGUUAACCAUCGAUCCGGAUGUUAUGUGCUUUACAAGAUCGAACGUACAUAGCGUAUACAUAAUAGAAAAAAUCGCGAUGGCGUUUAAUAUACGAAAUCUGACGAUUCGCAAUGCCGAAAACGAAGAUGCUUAUGUUUCGAGCCGCGUUGCUUGUUCACGGACACGCGACCAUGCCACUUCGUUUCAAUCGAUUCGAUCCGAUUAAUUAAGCCCCCAUUCGAUUCGCCUAAGGCUUUCAGCCGUGUAUGCUUCACAGACAACGAAUCUCUCGACUUGCCAAGCGACUCGCGACUGACAAUAGUUUCUGCCUGCGAUCCCUCGAUGCGAUUGUUUUAAGCGCAAAACUGUCGUCACGUAGGACAGGACUUAUAAAUCGUUGAAAAAAAGAGUAUUUGGCAUAGAAAAAGAAAAAAGAAGAAAAAGAUAGAAAGGAAGAAGAUACGCCCGAACGAAUCGUUUCCCCUACUUGAAUCUGUAAGGUACGCUCGUCACGUUGUUUAGAGCUAUUUAUCGAUUCUAAAACCGAAGCGAGAUGUUACACAUAAAACGAAAUAUUUUUGCGGUGCAAAAUUUUCGCAAAAUGAAAAGUCAGUUCCUCUGUGGCGUGUUGAGAUAUACGCGAGAUUUCGAGCCUAAAUCGUUGUACGAUUGUUUAUAUAGAACGAAUUUAUAUUAUAUAGAACGAUGCGAAAAAAUGUUAAGUGUGCUUGUAAGUGUGCUGUAUGAUGAUUUCCGGUGUUUACGAUAUUCGUUUGCGGUCACGCUGAAUAAGUCUUGUCUUACACGUUCGCACGCAUUCUACUUCUAACCACCAAAGAAAUACACUCGCACGUAUUUCUUCUCCAAGCGCUUCUCCAAGGCACUUCUAUUAUGGGAAAGAAUGCAACGAUAAACCGUGGUCUAUAUUUAUCGCAAGUUUUAGUAUUAAGUUUUGAAAGUUAGCGUUAACAGGUGCCAUUUUUGUGCCAUCACUUUUCUUCUUUUCAGGCAGCCAAAAACAAUCGGGUGAGCUCGCGGAAAGAAGAAAACGGAAGAAACGAGAAGGAAAAACGGAUAGAUCGAAUGAAAGCGAUGCCUGAUUUGAAGCGCGCAUAACUUAAGGAUCGCGCAACUCGAGAAAAGAAGCGCGAGACAAACGAGAGAAAAGGAAAGCAUUUUAGGCAAGACGUGUCGGAGUACAUAGACUUCUCGUGAAAGUAGAGCCAAUGGAGAAGAAACUAAUCGGGCGGGAAGCAAUGCUGCCUCGGUUAUCCGCGUAAAAGCAUACUUGCAGUUAUAAGGUCCUAAAUAAGAGUGAAACGAAGAAAUUUAAAUAAUGCAAGACGGAACGAUGGAAGGAAACCAUAACUGAAAGGCCUAGGUUGUCGCACUCGUUUGAAAAACUUUCCUGCAAGAAUGCAUACAAAAAGUAGCGUACAAUUGCUGUACACUCGUUUGUUGACGCGAAUAUAAGGGGAAAAAAGUCGAUUUGAUUUGUAUAUGUACACACGGUGAGCCCGAGGUUCGUGCAAGGACAGGUGCAUUUACGUAUGAAUGAGGAAGAGAUCUGGCGAAAUCGAUGCUCGUUUCUUUCUGGUUCAUAGUCGGUAGGCGCGAAUAAAUCAAUGACGGUAUCACUUCAUUCUUGUAAACGCUAAUGUCCUCUGCGGCGAUCAUUGUUAUUAUACGAACGAACUCAAGACGGCAUGGUAUACAAGACUAAGAACAAGACCUAAAAUGGGGACAUAAUAUUUUAUAACUCAACUUUUGUACAGAAUAAAUAAAUACUUGUACUGUGGACCAAUA